rnacentral:rRNA from 1 species
UGCAGUCGACGGUAACAGCAGAGCUUGCUCUGGCUGACAAGUGGCGGACGGGUGCGUAACGCGUGGGAAUCUACCUUGUAGUGGGGGAUAGCCCGGAGAAAUCCGGAUUAAUACCGCAUAAUCUCUACGGAGCAUAGUGGGGAAUCUUCGGACCUCACGCUAUUAGAUGAGCCCGCGUUAGAUUAGCUUGUUGGUGAGGUAAUGGCUCACCAAGGCGACGAUCUAUAGCUGGUUUGAGAGGAUGAUCAGCCACACUGGGACUGAGACACGGCCCAGACUCCUACGGGAGGCAGCAGUGGGGAAUAUUGGACAAUGGGCGCAAGCCUGAUCCAGCAAUACCGCGUGUGUGAAGAAGGCCUGAGGGUUGUAAAGCACUUUCAAUAGAGACGAAAAGCUUAGGGUUAAUAACCCUGGGUCUUGACUUAACCUAUAGAAGAAGCACCGGCUAACUCCGUGCCAGCAGCCGCGGUAAUACG